CACAUGACUCUCGACAAUGGAUAUCUCGGCUCUUGCAUCGAUGAAGAACGUAGCGAAAUGCGAUACCUGGUGUGAAUUGCAGAAUCCCGUGAACCAUCGAGUCUUUGAACGCAAGUUGUGCCUGAGGUCACUCGGCCGAGGGCAUGCCUGCCUGGGCGUCAUGC
rnacentral:rRNA from 1 species